rnacentral:rRNA from 1 species
UACAGAGACCUCAAGCGUUAUCCGGAUUUAUUGGGCGUAAAGAGCUGGUAGGUGGUUAUGUUAGUCAGGUGUCAAAUCUCGGGGCCCAACUCCGAAACUGCACUUGAAACGGCAUAGCUAGAGGGUGUGAGAGAUCUAUGGAACUCAUGGUGUAGCAGUGAAAUGCGUUGAUAUCAUGAGGAACACCAAAGGCGAAGGCAUUAGAUUGGCACAUUCCUGACACUGAGCAGCGAAAGCGUGGGUAGCGAAUGGGAUUAGAUACCCCAGUAGUCCACGCCCUAAACGAUGCAUAUUAGGCAUUGGAAGUAUCGACCCUUUCAGUGCCGUAGCUAACGCGUUAAAUAUGCCGCCUGGGAAGUACGGCCGCAAGGCUAAAACUCAAAGGAAUAGACGGGGAUCCGCACAAGUAGAGGAUCAUGUGGUUCAAUUCGACGAUAAGCGAGGAACCUCACCAGGGUUUGAAACUAAGCUGCAUGUCCCAGAAAUGGGAAGGCCUUCGAGGGUGCUUAGCAGGUGCUGCAUGGUUGUCGUCAGCUCGUGCCGUAAGGUGUUCCGUUAAGUCGGGAAACGAGCGCAACCCCUGUCGUGUGUUAUACAUGUCACACGAGACUGCCCAGACUAGAGUUCAUGAAGAAAUUCGUGGCCUAUAGUCUGGGAGGAAGGAGGGGAUGACGUCAAAUCAGCAUGGCCCUUUGACACCCUGGGCGACACACGUGAUACAAUGGCCGGUACAGAGGGUUGCCAAGCCGCGAGGCGGAGCCAAUCCCAAAAAACCGGUCCCAGUUCGGAUAGGAGUCUGCAACUCGACUCCUUGAAGUAGGAUUUACUAGUAAUCGGAGAUCAGAACGCUCCGGUGAAUACGUUCUCGGAUCU